rnacentral:tRNA from 1 species
ACCUGGCUGGCUCAGUCAGUAGAGUGUACGACUCUUGAUCUCAGGGUUGUGGGUUUGAGCCCCACUUUGGGUA